GCCGACGUAGCUCAAGCGGCAGAGCAUCCGCCUUGUAAGCGGAGGCGUGCGGGUUCAAGUCCCGCCGUCGGCU
rnacentral:tRNA from 1 species